AUCAUNGGCCUGUUCNUNAAGGCGGUUUGCCCAAGACGGCGAGUGAACUGCAACCCCAGAUUUGAAAUCCGGCCCCGGCCCGAGUUGUAAUCUGCAGAUGAGUCUUCGGGCAAGGCGUCGUCCAAGUUCCCUGGAAUGGGACGCCGGAGAGGGUGAGAGCCCCGUACCGACGGCCGCCGCGCCUGUGCGAAGCUCAUUCGAAGAGUCGAGUAGUUUGGAAAUGCUGCUCUAAUUGCGGGGUAAAUCUCCCGUAAGGCUAAAUACCGGCCAGAGACCGAUAGCGCACAAGUAGCGUGAGCGAAAGAUGAAAAGAGCCUUGAAUAAGGGCGUCAAAAAGUAUGUGAAAUUGUUGUGGGGGAAGCGCUUGGCGCCAGACGUGGCGGCGGUUGGUUACCCGGCGUUACUCGCCGGCGCACUCUGCCGCCGCCAGGCCAGCAUCGGUUCGGCCUGGGACCUACUGACGCGAGGAACGUGGCCCUUCGGGGUGUUACAGCCUCGCGGAGACGUCCCGCGCCGGACCGAGGAUCGCGCUUCGGCUCGGAUGCUGGCGUAAUGGCCCUCAGCGACCCGUCUUGAAACACGGACCAAGGAGUUGACCUACCCGCGAGUGUUUGGGUGUCAAGCCCUCACGCGCAGUGAAAGCGAACGCAGGUGGGAGCCUCGCGCACCAUCGACGAUCCUGAAGUUCACGACGGAUUUUAGUAGAGCGUGCUGGGUCUGACCCGAAAGAAGUGAACUAUGCAUGAAUAGGGUGAAGCCAGAGGAAACUCUGGUGGAGGCUCGCAGCGGUCUUACGGCAAUCGAUCGUCAAUUUUGCAUGGGGGCGAAAAACCAUCGAACCUCUAUAGCUGGUUCUGCGAGUUCCUCGGAUACAAGUUAUCUCAGUUCUUAGGUAACGAAUGAUUAAACUCCGGGCUACUACUGCUUCUCUAUUUCAACUUAUAUUGAAACCUCUGUUCUUCGGAACCAGCUUGAUGAUAAUUAUGGGCNUUGA
rnacentral:rRNA from 1 species